UACAGGGGUCUCAAGCGUUAAUCGGAAUCACUGGGCUUAAAGGGUGCGUAGGCGGACCAGUAAGCGCUUUGUGAAAUCCCCCGGCUCAACCGGGGAAUUGCAGGGCGAACUGCUGGUCUAGAGGAAACUAGAGGCGGGCAGAACGAUUGGUGGAGCGGUGGAAUGCGUAGAUAUCGUUAGGAACUCCGGUGGCGAAGGCGGCACGCUGGACCUUUUCUGACGCUGAGGCGCGAAAGCCAGGGGAGCGAACGGG
rnacentral:rRNA from 1 species